CUACCAAGCUGACCGCUGUUAGAGUUGAGGCUGCAGAGUGGAGAAAGGGGGAAAGGCUCACUUAUUGUGCCUCGUGAAACUUUGCCAGUUACACGCUCCGGUAAUCUCCAGGUGGAGGUAGAACCUGGUGUCCAUGUGCCCUGGGGUGGUGUGUGAAAACCUUGGAUAGGAUUCGGCCAGUUUUUUUGUUGGGUGAAAUGGAUUGGAAAUGGAUCUUCCCGAACACUCCUCGUGUCGUUCAGCUGCACACGGCCGGUGCAGUGCGCGGUGCUAGGAUGGCGAGCCAAGCCCGAGGACCCAAGUGACUUCAUUACACUUCAUUCACAUUUUCAAACACUUGAUAGUGAACAUUAAAGAAAAUUUGUGGACUUUAAGAUUAUUUGAUAAAAAGGACACUUUUAUUUUAUUUUAUUUUUUUUUGAAAGACAGGACACUCUACAAAGAUACUGAAAAGGGUUAAAUUUUAAUUGGUUGGAUUACUGUUAUUUGAUUUUGAUAAUUUCUAAGUGGUUUUGAUAUUCAUUUAUUGUUUUUGCUACAGAGAAUUGUUAUUUUUUAUUUCUGGUUGUUUGUUAAAGGGUAUACUAUUGGUGUAAAAUAACCUAGAGGUUUAAUUGGAUAACAGUAAUUAUAAUAAUACUUACCUUUAAUCAAUAAUCCAUUAGACCUAGAAGAAAGAAAUAAUUAAUUAGUUAUAAAAUACCUAUAAAUAGAUUAAAAUAAUAAAAUAAUACUUACCUUAAACUGCAUAAAUACCUCUAAAAUAGAGAACACAGGUGAUUAGAGAAAUAAUAGUAAUUAAUAUAAUAUUAAAUAUACAAAUACUGAAAUACAAAGGGUAUACUUACCAUUUUCAUUGUUGACCAAGGUUAUUGAAGGGUGAAUUCUUUUGGAAACUGAGUAACUGAAUUGUUUUUUAUUUAUUUAUUUACAGAAUUUAUUUUGUUACAUUGUUUUAUUUACCUACUGGCAUUGAUUGACAUUUUAAUACACUUUAUUGCUGCACAAA